UUACUCACCCUCUGCCCAGCCUCUGGAGCUCAAGCAGUUCUUGAUGAUAGCCAGCAACAGGAACUGACCCUCUCAGCACUUUCCAUCUAUUUUAUUUCAGGUACUUCACAGAUAGCUUGGACUUGCUGGCGCUGUGACUCAACCUUCAGCUUUCCGGAAGCUGAUAGAAGACAAUAUCUGUGUAUUUCUGUAGAAAUGUACCAGUCGGAAAAGGCUGCAAAAAUUCUGGCCACCAUGUAAAUCCCACAGACUCAUUUGGGAAGAAGAGGAGGCAAAAAACUUUGUGUUGGCCCUCUGAAUGAAGGUGAGUGUUGCUCUCUGUACACACUGAUGAAACCAAAGCUAAAUGAUC
ensembl:lncRNA